GUACGCAGCUGACUGCGCCUCCCGCGGUGGCCCUCGGCGGUCCUCUGCCCCGGCCUGGCCUCCUGGUCGCCGCUCAGCCCCGCAGCUCCUCCCGGAGGUCUGCAAGCCCCGGACCGGCCAGCUCACGUCCAGGCUCCAAGAAGGGAUCCGCCGGGGCGCACCCUCUUCCGUCCCCCGGCACGAGCCCAGUCUCUGGACGCCUCCGGGAGAACUGGGCCAAGCACAGGGUGGUCGCGGCGCAGGGAGAGCAUCUGCAAACGUUGGUCCCUGUAGUGCUUUGAAUUUCCCCGAAGAGCUCUUAGACCCGCCCCGGGAGAGUGGGGUUGCGGGGGUGGUAGCAUGGGGAGCUCAGCAGGAUUCAGCCCGCACCUCGGCUCCGGGUAGUCGGGAACCGCGCGGAGCGCCCUGCAAGAGGCCACGGCUCCCCCGCCGCUGUAGAAGGCCGGACCGUGAAAGCCCGGAGGGUCUCCGUUCGGGCAAAAAUGUGGGGGCGGGUCGCAGCAUUUCCAACGCCCCCUGGGGCUAGUCCAUUACUGCUCGAGCCAGGGCCGCCAAGGGCACCUACUCCAGCCCAGGUCCGAGAGCGCGGCAUGCCUCCCGGCCGGGAGCCAAAUGUUUCCAGGGAGCCGGUGGCCUCCACAACCGGACCGCAAGCUCGCGAGGGCAGGGCCGGCCCGCCGCGCCAGGGACUGCUGGGCGCUGCGCGGGAAGCGAGGCUGGGUUCGGGGAGGACCGCGCGCCCUGGGAAUCAAGGAGCAAACCAACCCGUCCGCAGGCCCCUGUUUCCCUAUCUGUGAAAUGAGUGGUUGGACCAAAGCUUCCUCUCAGGUCCCUUCCAGCACCCCUCUCUGAGCUCUGAGCAGUCCUCACCCCACAUGCAUGCCUUUGCAGGUUCUCCGACCUCCCUUCCAUUUCUGAGCUUUCAUCUUUUUCUGUAACGGCAUAAAAAUAUCCUCCUUCGCGCCCAGCUGCACAGCUCUUACAGCUAUAAAUUCCAGAUCCUCU
rnacentral:lncRNA from 10 species